GAGUGAGGUAACCCAGACAUAGAAAGACAGUUAUCACAUGUACUCACUCAUAGUCAAAAACAAACAUUUGGAUUAAAUUUGCUAGUUAGCCUGCGGAACCCCAGCUAUUUAUACCCUGGCUCAUUUUCAAAAUUUUUUUCCAUGGCCUGUUAUGAUGCAGCAUACCUAUAAUCUCAGCACUGUGGAGGUUGAGGCAGGAAGAUCCUGUUUUAUACAAGCUGUGUUACAUUGUUGGGACCAUUUGGAUCCUGGCCUCCAGUUGCUCUCCCCCACUAGUGACCUUUUCUUGGCCUUCUGAUUUGAGCUUCUGAGAGCUGUGUCCAGCUCUGCUUCCUGAGCAGGUGUUGCCUUGUCCUUGAUUGAGGAUCAGGGGGGUGAAGUUUUCACCUGUUGGCCCACCUGACUGUGUUGGGGAUAAAAGUCUCCGUGGUACUAUUCAAUAAAGGGCUUCUUUUACCAGUGACUAGAGGGAUGUGUGUGUUUAAUCCUGACAUCCUUCGUUUGGGUUUUGGUUCCAGGCCUGGCACUACAUAAUCUCGAAAAAUCAAAAACCAUUUUUCUACUUUCUUCUUUAGACACCUACAUGUUUAUUGGAAAGAUCUUUGUGUUGUAUCAGCCUUGACCCCCGCUCCAUGCGGUCACUGUUAUCUUUCAAGUUUUAGUACGAGCACCGGUCACUGUUACCUUAAAACUACUAUUUGACUUCUAGUCUUUCUCAUGUUUCUGUAUUCCCGAUGCAGUAUUUGUUUAUAGGCUGUUAAGGGUUUUGUGUCAACAUUUUUAUCUGAUAUGCACUGUAUUUUAUAUAUCUAUUGUAUAUACUGAUUUAUAAUUGACUUGUUUGAGACUUACCAUGUUGGUAGAUAUAGAAUACAAUAUCUUAGAAAUAAACCAGACUUAGCGCCUCUUUUGAGAAAUAGUUACCACUUUGUUAUUUUAAAAAUUGCAACUGCAAUUAAUAUUCUUUACAUGUCCAGGGCCUUCUGUAAAGGCCAGGCUUCCUUCAUGAUGUUCAGCCAGGUCUUCUAACACAUCUGCUUACACCCUAACCUCACAUUAAUCUCUUAGCUCUAAAUUCCCUGGUGUUCUGUCCCUUCUCCAAUGUAUUUCAUUACUUCAGUACUUCAUUACUUUGUAAAAGGUGUCAAGAGGAUCAAGUCUAGUUGGGUGUGGUGCUCAAGGAAGCAAAGGCAGGGGGAUCUCUGAGUUUGAGGCCAGCCUGGUCUAUAGAGCAAGUGCCAGGACAGUCAGUGUUACCCAGACAAACCCUGUCUUCGAAACCCAUCCCCCAGAAGAGA